rnacentral:rRNA from 1 species
UGGGGAAUAUUGGACAAUGGGCGAAAGCCUGAUCCAGCCAUGCCGCGUGUGUGAAGAAGGUCUUCGGAUUGUAAAGCACUUUAAGUUGGGAGGAAGGGCAUUAACCUAAUACGUUAGUUUUUGACGUUACCGACAGAAUAAGCACCGGCUAACUCUGUGCCAGCAGCCGCGGUAAUACAGAGGGUGCAAGCGUUAAUCGGAAUUACUGGGCGUAAAGCGCGCGUAGGUGGUUUGUUAAGUUGGAUGUGAAAUCCCCGGGCUCAACCUGGGAACUGCAUUCAAAACUGACUGACUAGAGUAUGGUAGAGGGUGGUGGAAUUUCCUGUGUAGCGGUGAAAUGCGUAGAUAUAGGAAGGAACACCAGUGGCGAAGGCGACCACCUGGACUAAUACUGACACUGAGGUGCGAAAGCGUGGGGAGCAAACA